GACGAACGCUGGCGGCGUGCUUAACACAUGCAAGUCGAACGGAAAGGCCCUGCUUUUGUGGGGUGCUCGAGUGGCGAACGGGUGAGUAACACGUGAGUAACCUGCCCUUGACUUUGGGAUAACUUCAGGAAACUGGGGCUAAUACCGGAUAGGAGCUCCUGCUGCAUGGUGGGGGUUGGAAAGAUUCGGCGGUUGGGGAUGGACUCGCGGCUUAUGAGCUUGUUGGUGGGGUAGUGGCUUACCAAGGCUUUGACGGGUAGCCGGCCUGAGAGGGUGACCGGCCACAUUGGGACUGAGAUACGGCCCAGAAUCCUACGGGAGGCAGCAGUGGGGAGUAUUGCACAAUGGGCGGAAGCCUGAUGCAGCAACGCCGCGUGCGGGAUGACGGCCUUCGGGUUGUAAACCGCUUUCGCCUGUGACGAAGCGUGAGUGACGGUAAUGGGUAAAGAAGCACCGGCUAACUACGUG
rnacentral:rRNA from 1 species